rnacentral:rRNA from 1 species
CCCAGACUCCUACGGGAGGCAGCAGUGGGGAAUAUUGCACAAUGGGGGGAACCCUGAUGCAGCGACGCCGCGUGAGUGAAGAAGUAUUUCGGUAUGUAAAGCUCUAUCAGCAGGGAAGAAAAUGACGGUACCUGACUAAGAAGCCCCGGCUAACUACGUGCCAGCAGCCGCGGUAAUACGUAGGGGGCAAGCGUUAUCCGGAUUUACUGGGUGUAAAGGGAGCGCAGACGGCUGUGCAAGUCUGGAGUGAAAGGCGGGGGCCCAACCCCCGGACUGCUCUGGAAACUGUAAAGCUGGAGUGCAGGAGAGGUAAGCGGAAUUCCUAGUGUAGCGGUGAAAUGCGUAGAUAUUAGGAGGAACACCAGUGGCGAAGGCGGCUUACUGGACUGCAACUGACGUUGAGGCUCGAAAGCGUGGGGAGCAAACAGGAUUAGAUACCCGCGUAC